rnacentral:rRNA from 1 species
AAUGAACGCUGGCGGCGCGCCUAAUACAUGCAAGUCGAGCGAGAAGACGUAGCAAUACGUUUGUAAAGCGGCGAACGGGUGAGGAAUACAUGGGUAACCUACCCUAGAGUGGGGAAUAACUAGCCGAAAGGUUAGCUAAUACCGCGUACGCUCCUUGGACUUCGGUUCAGGGAGGAAAGCGAUGCCGAGGGUAUCGCGCUCUUGGAUGGGCUCAUGUCCUAUCAGCUUGUUGGGAGGUAACGGCUCACCAAGGCUUCGACGGGUAGCUGGUCUGAGAGGACGAUCAGCCACACUGGCACUGCGACACGGGCCAGACUCCUACGGGAGGCAGCAGUAAGGAAUAUUGCGCAAUGGGCAAAGCCUGACGCAGCGACGCCGCGUGGGGGAU